rnacentral:rRNA from 1 species
CGAUGUUUCAUUCAAAUUUCCUGCCCUAUCAACUUUCGACGGUAGGGUAGUGGCCUACCGUGGUGGUAACGGGUAACGGAGGAUUAGGGUUCGAUUCCGGAGAGGGAGCCUGAGAAACGGCUACCACAUCCAAGGAAGGCAGCAGGCGCGCAAAUUACCCAAAUCCCAACUCGGGGAGGUAGUGACAAGAAAUAACGAUGCUCCGGCCAACGGUCGGGUAAUCGGAAUGAGAACAAUAUAAAUCCCUUAUCGAGGAUCAAUUGGAGGGCAAGUCUGGUGCCAGCAGCCGCGGUAAUUCCAGCUCCAAUAGCGUAUAUUUAAGUUGCUGCGGUUAAAAAGCUCGUAGUCGGAUUUCGGGUGGUACCUGCCGGUCCGCCCUUGGUGAGUACUGGCAGGCGCUACCUUUCUGCCGAGGACAGGCUCGUGGGCUUUACUGUCUGGGGUCUGGAGUCGGCGACGUCACUUUGAGUAAAUUAGGGUGUUUAAAGCAGGCAUAUGCUCUGAAUACACUAGCAUGGGAUGACACGAUAGGACUCCGGUCUAUCUUGUCGGUCUGUAGGCUGGAGUAAUGAUUAAGAGGGACAGUCGGGGGCAUUCGUAUUUCGUAGUCAGAGGUGAAAUUCUUGGAUUUACGGAAGACGAACUUCUGCGAAAGCAUUUGCCAAGGAUGUUUUCAUUGAUCAAGAACGAAAGUCGGGGGCUCGAAGACGAUUAGAUACCGUCGUAGUCUCGACCAUAAACAUG